UACGUAGGGUCCGAGCGUUGUCCGGAUUUAUUGGGCGUAAAGAGCUCGUAGGCGGCCACUCAAGUCGAAUGUGAAACCUCGAGGCUUAACCUCGAGCCUGCAUUCGAUACUGGGCGGCUAGAGUCUGGUAGGGGGAUCUGGAAUUCCUGGUGUAGCGGUGGAAUGCGCAGAUAUCAGGAGGAACACCGGUGGCGAAGGCGGGAUCCUGGGCCAGUACUGACGCUGAGGCGCGAAAGCUAGGGGAGCAAACGGG
rnacentral:rRNA from 1 species